rnacentral:rRNA from 1 species
AGCGGCGGAUGGGUGAGUAACACGUGGGGAACCUGCCCCUAAGUCUGGGAUGCCUUUUGGAAACAGGUGCUAAUACCGGAUAAUAAAGCGGAUCGCAUGAUCAGCUUUUGAAAGGCGGCGUAAGCUGUCGCUAAGGGAUGGCCCCGCGGUGCAUUAGCUAGUUGGUAAGGUAACGGCUUACCAAGGCGACGAUGCAUAGCCGAGUUGAGAGACUGAUCGGCCACAUUGGGACUGAGACACGGCCCAAACUCCUACGGGAGGCAGCAGUAGGGAAUCUUCCACAAUGGACGCAAGUCUGAUGGAGCAACGCCGCGUGAGUGAAGAUGGUUUUCGGAUCGUAAAGCUCUGUUGUUGGUGAAGAAGGAUAGAGGUAGUAACUGGCCUUUAUUUGACGGUAAUCAACCAGAAAGUCACGGCUAACUACGUGCCAGCAGCCGCGGUAAUACGUAGGUGGCAAGCGUUGUCCGGAUUUAUUGGGCGUAAAGCGAGCGCAGGCGGAAAAAUAAGUCUAAUGUGAAAGCCCUCGGCUUAACCGAGGAACUGCAUCGGAAACUGUCUUUCUUGAGUGCAGAAGAGGAGAGUGGAACCCCAUGUGUAGCGGUGGAAUGCGUAGAUAUAUGGAAGAACACCAGUGGCGAAGGCGGCUCUCUGGUCUGCAACUGACGCUGAGGCUCGAAAGCAUGGGUAGCGAACAGGAUUAGAUACCCUGGUAGUCCAUGCCGUAAACGAUGAGUGCUAAGUGU